rnacentral:rRNA from 1 species
GAUGAACGCUGGCGGCGUGCCUAAUACAUGCAAGUCGAGCGAACAGACGAGGAGCUUGCUCCUCUGACGUUAGCGGCGGACGGGUGAGUAACACGUGGAUAACCUACCUAUAAGACUGGGAUAACUUUGGGAAACCGGAGCUAAUACCGGAUAAUAUAUUGAACCGCAUGGUUCAAUAGUGAAAGACGGUUUUGCUGUCACUUAUAGAUGGAUCCGCGCCGCAUUAGCUAGUUGGUAAGGUAACGGCUUACCAAGGCGACGAUGCGUAGCCGACCUGAGAGGGUGAUCGGCCACACUGGAACUGAGACACGGUCCAGACUCCUACGGGAGGCAGCAGUAGGGAAUCUUCCGCAAUGGGCGAAAGCCUGGCGGAGCAACGCCGCGUGAGUGAUGAAGGUCUUCGGAUCGUAAAACUCUGUUAUUAGGGAAGAACAAAUGUGUAAGUAACUAUGCACGUCUUGACGGUACCUAAUCAGAAAGCCACGGCUAACUACGUG